UUCGUAGUGACACCAGGAGCUACGCGUGGGACCAUAGACAUGCUUGUGGGAGACGAUCCAGACGUUAAGGAGGGCAUAUUCUACUACUUUGACCGCAAGUGCGUCGUGAUGGACCUCGAGUAUCACGGCCAUCAGUGCAUUCUUUGGACGCAGAAGUACCUGAUGCACAAUGUUCCUCCGGUGUGCCGCGACCAGUUCGUCGACACCUGCGGAGUAGUCAUUGCUCCACACAGAAGAGACCUUUGUUCCGACGACUAGGAAGACUACUUUAGCGGUCUGGAAA
rnacentral:lncRNA from 1 species